GCAGAGGGCCAUAGCUCAGUGGUAGAUCAUCUACCUUGCAUGCCAAAGGUCCCAGGUUCAAUCCCUGACUUCUCCA